AAGAUUUUCUGAGUUUGCGCCGUACGGUGAUUAUUGGGUGUUAUCCACGGAUUAUACCAACUAUUCUAUAGUUUGGUCGUGUUCUGAAUCCCCAAAAGGAGCGAUCCAAUUCAAUUCACAAUAUUUGUGGGUGUUGACUAGGACCAGAGAGGGCGUGUCGGAGGCAGAGUUAAAGAGAAUCCUGGGAAUUCUAGAAGAUUACGGUAUCAACAUAAACGAACGUAAACUUAAACCAACCACCCAGACGAACUGCUUUAGUGAAAUACGAAUGUAAAGAUUGUCGUUGUCGUCUUAGUUUCAAUGUGCAGAUAAAACUAAUUUAAAUAAAACUAUAAAUUUAAAUGUGAAAAAUUUCAUGACUACAUCGUAUUUUUGCAAUAAUAUCAUAGCUAAAGUUAUGUAGAUUUCAAAACAGAGAACCUUCUUUUCAUAAAUUGUAACGAAUAUAUUUGAAUACUACGUGAGAAGACACUGCAUAAUUUCUGGGUAAAAAAUUAAACUGAUAGCAUCCGAUUUAAGUACAUUGGAACAGAUGGCGUUGUAGAACAUCUGCAAUUAAAGGGACUCCACUCCGGUUUUCUUGACAUGACGGUAAAUGAAAUAUUUUUUUUUUCGAGAUUAAAGCUGCAUGCCUCCAGAUGAGUCAAAAUAUUUCAAUUAAAUCAAACUUGAGAAAUAUGUACUAAGAUUUUAGGAAAAGUAAAAUGAUUCAAGAUUCAAGUAAUAUUUUAAAUGUUAUGUGCGGUUAAUGAGAGAUUUUUCGGUAUUAACAAGUAUAUUUCUACCGCGUUACUAACGCAGUAAAGGGCUAUUUAUGCA